GAAACCGUGUACGUACAAGCAGUGGGAGCCCCACCACCAAAGCAUUCUCUGGUGUUGAAGGCCCUGCAAAGCAGCAUCGCGGUGGCGGAGCGUCGUUUGCGACGCCCAACACACAAAACAAGCGGUGAGUGCUUUGGGGUGGGGUGACUGCGUACCUUUUGUAUAAUGGGUCAGCGACUUAUAUUCUGUAGCAAGGUUAACCGUAUAGGGGAGCCGGAGGGAAACCGAGUCUUAACCGGGCGUUAAGUUGCAGGGUAUAGACCCGAAACCCGGUGAUCUAGCCAUGGGCAGGUUGAAGGUUGGGUAACACUAACUGGAGGACCGAACCGACUAAUGUUGAAAAAUUAGCGGAUGACCUGUGGCUGGGGGUGAAAGGCCAAUCAAACCGGGAGAUAGCUGGUUCUCCCCGAAAGCUAUUUAGGUAGCGCCUCGUGAAUUCAUCUCCGGGGGUAGAGCACUGUUUCGGCUAGGGGGCCAUCCCGGCUUACCAACCCGAUGCAAACUGCGAAUACCGGAGAAUGUUAUCACGGGAGACACACGGCGGGUGCUAACGUCCGUCGUGAAGAGGGAAACAACCCAGACCGCCAGCUAAGGUCCCAAAGUCAUGGUUAAGUGGGAAACGAUGUGGGAAGGCCCAGACAGCCAGGAUGUUGGCUUAGAAGCAGCCAUCAUUUAAAGAAAGCGUAAUAGCUCACUGGUCGAGUCGGCCUGCGCGGAAGAUGUAACGGGGCUAAACCAUGCACCGAAGCUGCGGCAGCGACGCUUAUGCGUUGUUGGGUAGGGGAGCGUUCUGUAAGCCUGUGAAGGUGGCCUGUGAGGGUUGCUGGAGGUAUCAGAAGUGCGAAUGCUGACAUAAGUAACGAUAAAGCGGGUGAAAAGCCCGCUCGCCGGAAGACCAAGGGUUCCUGUCCAACGUUAAUCGGGGCAGGGUGAGUCGACCCCUAAGGCGAGGCCGAAAGGCGUAGUCGAUGGGAAACGGGUUAAUAUUCCCGUACUUGGUGUUACUGCGAAGGGGGGACGGAGAAGGCUAUGUUGGCCGGGCGACGGUUGUCCCGGUUUAAGCGUGUAGGUGUGUGUUCCAGGUAAAUCCGGUU
rnacentral:rRNA from 1 species